UCUCUCUCUCUCUUCCUUUCAAAUAAAUGAAACAAAUAUUUUUUAAAACUAGUUUAUAUUACAACUGUACCUUAAAUUGUUCUAAGGUUUUUUUUGCAUUUCAAGAUUUCUCAAAGCCUGGGUAGGCAUUAUUAUGUAGUAGGUUAAACUGCUUCCCAUACCUGAGUGCUGGGUUGGGUCCUGGCUACUGUGUUUCUGAUCCAGCUUCCUGCUAAUGCAUCCUAGGUGGCAACAAAUGAUGGCUCAAGCUCCUGGGCUCCUGGAACUCAUGUGGGAGAUCUGGAUGGAAUUCCUGGCUUCUGGCUGCUGCUAUGCUCAGCACGGGCUGAUGCAGACAUUUGGGAAGUGAACCACCAGAUGGAAGACUGAUCUCUCCUCUCUCAAGUAGAUAAUCAAAAUUAUCAUAAAAAGCUCAAGAGACUUAUUGAUCACGCUACCUGACCACUGGUGUUUGGUCAGUAACUCUGCUAUGCUUGCCAUCACCCCUUGAAGGGAAGAAAGGACAGGGAGGACACAUCCUUCCUACUGGCAAAUGUUCCCCGAGUCCAGGUAGAAUGAUGGAGGUUUGCUCUCUUGGAAGGGUGAACUAAAGAACCACUGCUAAAAUUAAAAACGCCAUACAGACAGCAUAUAAGGAAUGCAAGAAAUAAUUCUCCCAAAGUUCGCUUCAACCUCCAUUUGACUCUCUUACUGGCAGGCAAUCAGAACUCUCUGGGGAUAUCAGAUCAGCCCUGAGCAAAGAACUUAAGAUACGAAUGAAAGGGUUCUCUCAAACAACUCGUCCAGAUCAUGUCCCAGGAAAGACCUCAGUGGACAAGGCCUGGUUUCAUACUUAUAUCUUCUAGUCAGCUUUCUCAUCUCCAAGACUUAUUCUACAGCCGACGGAUAAGAACCAGAGAAUAAAAUAAAGUUCCCAGCAUGAGAAUACAGAACACAGACAACACUGAUACAGGUUGAAAACAGUAAACAUCAUGAUCCUCAAAGACAUGAGAAGAAAUGGGCCCCAUGACUGAAACCCAGUGUCGAGCAAAACUAGUGAAACCAGAUGCUCACCAAGACGUAUCACUGAGAAAAAACAGGUACUAGUAACAUACAAAACAUCAAGAAUAAAAAUGGAUCUGGACUUCUCAAAAGCAACACAGCAAUCUUAAAGGCAAUACAAUAAUGUACUGAAACUUCUCAAAGAAAAUUAGUUCAGACCUAGAUUAUUCAUUCAGCCAAACAACCAAGUGUAAGAACAAAGUUAUUUUAGAUAUUCGAGGAUUAAAAAUGUUUCUUAGGACAUCGCCCUUCAAAAUGGGCAAGUGCCUUCAUCUGCUCGAGCUGCCUUAACCAAGUUACAGAGACUGAGUGACUGAAACAAUGAUGUUGAUUUCCACAGUGCUGGAGGCCAGAAGUCCAAGAGCCAGGUGACAGUCAAUGUGGCUUCCUGGAUUGUAGAUGGCUGCCUUCUCCCUGAGCCCUCAUCGUAGGAGAGAGUGAUCCUGCAUCUUGCUUUUUUGUUCUCAUAAGGGCACCAUCUCUGCUGGGUUGGAGAACCACUCAGACCAAGUCACUUAAUCUUGAUCACCUUUUCAGAGGCCCCACUCCAAAUGCAGCCAUACCACAGAGAGAUCAGGCCUCAACAUGAGUAACUUUCAAGAGUCACAAACAUUAAGUCUGCAAUAGGAGGCAAAAUUAGAGAACAAAAAGCACACAGUACUUAAACAUAGAUGCUCCAACACAUGAGAGAAGUAAAGGAGACUGAUAACCAUUCGCCAGAAACAAAUGGCCCAGACUGAAGCAGUAUGACUGAAGAGAUGGAAAUACUAAAGGCAGUCAUGCGCUACCUCUGGUCUCUGUGUCAUCUUUUGAAACUACUAGAGGAUAUGCUUGAACAAAACAAGGAAGUAAAUACAAAAGAGAGGAAGAUCCAGGAAACAAGAAAUCCAACCUAAGAGAAAGGAGACAGGAAUUCCAAGAAUGAGGGGAAGAGAAAUUCUAAAAUGAGGGCUACUCAGGAAAUAAGUUUAAAUGUAAGAAAAACAGAAGGUUUCCAAGAGGAAUGACCCCAAGAAAAAAUAAAAUAAUAUUGGAUCUGAUAGGUUACUGAUCUUUAAUAAAAAUUAAUGAAAAACCACAAGAAAGUAUGAAAAACAACAGAUAUAAGGAAAGCAAAUCUUUUUAAAACAAUUAUUAAAUUCAGAGGAAAAAAUGGAAAGUAAUAACUGCGAUUUUGUUUUUAGAAAUUCAGAAUAGAAUAAAUUAAACUACAGCACUAAAUAAAAAUAUGUACUAGAACUGCUCCUUGGCGGUGCAGUGCUGGGGACACAGCAUAAGCUGGGAUUCUGGAAUGCUAGCAGUGUUCUGCUUCUUGAGUGGGCUGUAAGUUACAGACAUGUUCCCUUUAUGCAUCCAUCAAGUUAUGAAUCAAACAAUCGGAUGUGCGUACCUUUCUCUGUGUACAUUAUACUUCAAUAAAAAAUCUACUUGAAAAAGAUAUCAGUUUUAAUGUUUACUGGCUGUGUAACCCUAGGUUACUCAAACUAACUGAACCUGCAUUUCCUCAUCUAUAAAACAGGGGUGAUAAAAAUACCUACUCUUUCAGGGAUUUUUGUGAGGUUCCAAUGAGGUAACUUGCACCAAGUGAUUAACAAAGUGGCUCAUGCAUAAGCACACAGUAAAAGCUUGUUGAUUUUUAUUAACUUUAGGCACUGAA